rnacentral:sRNA from 1 species
UUUUAUAUCAAUCUAGGUCAAAGACUAUGGUCAGUUCUCAGAUCAAAGACAAAGUGAUCAAGCAAGGCCAAGAACAAAGAGAUCGCACCAAAAGAUCGCCACCAAGUAGUAAUCAAACAAAGCAAUAAACAAAGUCCCUGCAGUUCCUGGUUCCAUGGAGUUUAUCGGGAUUACCAAGACAAAAGGGAAGUCACAUAUUUCUUGGCUGUGUUUACCUUGAUCCUUGCAUUAGCCCAAAUGUGAAUAUUUUCAUCUGAGCCUACUUCCUUGAAUCCACUGACAGGUACUUGCCAAAAUUCCUAUGAGCAGCACCAAACGUUCUCCACGAUGGCUAACAAAAAUAAACUGCAUAUUUCACAAAAGCCAACAGAAGAGAUUUGGAUGUUGUCAACACAAGGAAAGGGCAAAGGUGGUCCCAUUUACUCAGAGUCUGACCGUUCACACACAGUUAUUUCUUCAUGGAAUAAAUAUCAAGGAAGGCUGUGCUUCACGUGAGACAAUGUGCUAGACGAUGGAGACAAAUGGCGGGCAAAGGGGACACUGUCACCUUCCACAGAGAGGAUGACAGCUUUGUCAGCCAAAGCUUCAGGCACACCUGGCAGAGGCAUUUCUCCUGCCCUGGGAACCAGCUCGAGCUAACGCCUGCCCAGUGUUAGCAUUUCUGAAAGCGGAGCCGUUGGACUUUAUAGCCACCUGCUCUUAAUGCUGAAUGCCGAGGCUGGAGAUUUGCAUCCAGUCACUUCAGAUCUUUGUGCCUGUUCUUUUCAAAAGCACUGCUGCGCAGCCCCAGCCAUGAGACAGACACGGCACUUGAGCACAGAUCCCCAAAGAAUCGGACUUCAUCCUGAUGACACCGUGCUCUAUCUCGUUACGAUGCUGAGGCACAGGAGUCAACAAGCCAGGAAGCAGAGUGCACAUUGGUGCUAUCAGCAAGAAAAGCAAAGUAGGAGUGACCAGAUGCUGGUGGUCACUAAAAACAGACGGUACCUAAAAA